UUGAAAACAUCAUAUGUAGUUAUGUAUUCACUACUGGAUUAUGGCUAUUAGCCGACGGAAUAUCAGUCGGCUAAGAUCCGUCGGCUAAGCUUCGUCUGCUAAGACAAUAGCCGACAGAAUUGAUCGGCUACGUGGAACUUAGUCGACGGAAUAUUUCCGUCUGCCAAGAUUUUAGUCGACGGAAAUUACUUUUCCGUCGACUAAGUUUUUCUUAGCCGACGGAAUAUUUCUGUCUCCUACGAUCUUAGUUGACGGAAGUAAAAAUUAAAUUUUUUUUUUAGUAAUAACUGGCGGCUUUUUUUCGUUUUUUUAGGUCUUUUUUUUUUUUUCCUUUCCCUUCCUCUUCUCCGGCGACCACGAUGGUUAUGUUUGUGUGUUCCCGAACAACUCCACUCCACCUCCGACGCUAAACUCGCCGGGAUUCUACCGUCAAGGAACCGCACGUACGACGAUCUAUUGCCUUACUUAUGCCGCGGAGAGUAACCGUCCGGACGUCAACCACCCCACGAGGAGGAGGAGGAGGAGACGCUGCUUGGAGGAGGAGGAGACGCUGCUUGGAGGAGGAGGAGGAGUUGCCGCCGAGAAGAGGAGGAGGAGGAGGAGGCGGCACUCCUUAGAAGAGGAGGAGGUGCCGCGGUGAAGGGGGAGGAGGAGGCGCCGCGGUGGUGGGGGAGCAACCAGACGAGGGAGAGAGAGAGCAAGCAGACGAGCUAGGGAGAGAGAGAUGAAGAGAAUGAAGGAGAGAGAGCUGAAAGUUAUAGAAUGGAGCUGAAAAAAAUUCAAAAUUUUUGGCGGGCAUAACUGCCACUUAAAAUUUUUGAACUUAGUCGACGAAAUAUAUUUUUCCGUCGCCUAAGUUCAAAAUAUUUAAGCGGCAGUUAUCCCGCCAAAAAUUUUUAAAUUUUUUUUUUUAAAUUUGGUUCCGUCGACUAAGUAGAUAUUUCCGUCGACUAAGAUAUAACCUAAGCGAAGGAAUAAUUUUUCGUCGCCUAAGUUAUCAUAAAUNNNNN
rnacentral:lncRNA from 1 species